UCCACUGCUUGCUCCAGUAACCCUGCCUUACAGCUACACACUGGGCCGGGCUGCUGAUUUACUCAUUUCCUCUCCAAACUUCCUCUCCUACCACCCUGCUUUACAGGCACGUCUGACCAGAGAGUAUUCAGCUUCAACGCUAGACCCUGACCACUGACAACGUACGGGACAGCAGCUGUUAUCUGCGACGCGGAGGACCCGUCUCAGCAACACGCCUGCCCAAAGCUUGAGCCGUGGCUCUUUGUGACAGUUCCUGUCUAAAGAGAUCUCCCUUGGAAGAAACAGCUGAUUUGAGAAGGCACUCCUCUGCCUGUCCAAAGGAAGAAGGGCAAGAAGCCACUCUCGGUAUCAAACUGACCAUUCCUGGAUGGAGUGGGCACCUGCCUUAGCAAAGCAGCAACGGGGAUCCUCACAUGGAGAUGAGGAGAUUCCACUGUGAAACUACUCCAGAUUUUCCAUCAAAGCUCAUUUUAAGGAUUUAUAACUUGGACGGAGACAUUCUUUCCACACUGCGAUUUGGCAUUAAAGAACUUGGCCCAAGGAUCAAAAUAACCCUCUUUUCCAGCACUUCUUUUUAAGUGUGGGAAGGCAAAUUUCUGAUAUAUAAAGACACAAAAAUAUUAGGACAUACUUUUGUUCUUUUCUUGUGAGAAAACAGUGGCAAAUAAGACCUCAACUAACUUUAAAUAUAAAGCCUCAUCUAGCUUGUACUUUCUGAGGCUUAGAAACUGAUUUGAAUUGUCUGGUUUCCUUUCAUGUGGAAGAAUAGCUUUGCAAAUCAAAGUAAACCAAAUAAACUGUUUGCUUUCUGAGCUACAUAUUUUAUGACAAGAUGCUUUAAUUCCUGCUUAAAUUUUCUCUGGGCUUGGAUGCUUAAAAGUUGUUUGUCACCAACUCUAUGAUUUUAAUAUCAAUAAAUGUGUGGCACACAUUCAGCACACCAGUGAGGUGAUAAAGCAAACACAAUAUUAAUACUAAGUAAACACAUUAAAGUUUUUGAGCAUAAGUGA